rnacentral:rRNA from 1 species
AACGAACGCUGGCGGCAUGCCUAACACAUGCAAGUCGAACGAGACCUUCGGGUCUAGUGGCGCACGGGUGCGUAACGCGUGGGAACCUGCCUUUAGGUUCGGAAUAACUCAGAGAAAUUUGAGCUAAUACCGGAUAAUGUCUUCGGACCAAAGAUUUAUCGCCUUUAGAUGGGCCCGCGUAAGAUUAGCUAGUUGGUGGGGUAAAGGCCUACCAAGGCGACGAUCUUUAGCUGGUCUGAGAGGAUGAUCAGCCACACUGGGACUGAGACACGGCCCAGACUCCUACGGGAGGCAGCAGUGGGGAAUAUUGGACAAUGGGCGAAAGCCUGAUCCAGCAAUGCCGCGUGAGUGAUGAAGGCCUUAGGGUUGUAAAGCUCUUUCACCGGUGAAGAUAAUGACGGUAACCGGAGAAGAAGCCCCGGCUAACUUCGUGCCAGCAGCCGCGGUAAU